rnacentral:rRNA from 1 species
CAGGCUUAACACAUGCAAGUCGAGGGGCAGCAUGGUCUUAGCUUGCUAAGGCCGAUGGCGACCGGCGCACGGGUGAGUAACACGUAUCCAACCUGCCGUCUACUCUUGGACAGCCUUCUGAAAGGAAGAUUAAUACAAGAUGGCAUCAUGAGUCCGCAUGUUCACAUGAUUAAAGGUAUUCCGGUAGACGAUGGGGAUGCGUUCCAUUAGAUAGUAGGCGGGGUAACGGCCCACCUAGUCUUCGAUGGAUAGGGGUUCUGAGAGGAAGGUCCCCCACAUUGGAACUGAGACACGGUCCAAACUCCUACGGGAGGCAGCAGUGAGGAAUAUUGGUCAAUGGGCGAGAGCCUGAACCAGCCAAGUAGCGUGAAGGAUGACUGCCCUAUGGGUUGUAAACUUCUUUUAUAAAGGAAUAAAGUCGGGUAUGGAUACCCGUUUGCAUGUACUUUAUGAAUAAGGAUCGGCUAACUCCGUGCCAGCAGCCGCGGUAAUACGGAGGAUCCGAGCGUUAUCCGGAUUUAUUGGGUUUAAAGGGAGCGUAGAUGGAUGUUUAAGUCAGUUGUGAAAGUUUGCGGCUCAACCGUAAAAUUGCAGUUGAUACUGGAUAUCUUGAGUGCAGUUGAGGCAGGCGGAAUUCGUGGUGUAGCGGUGAAAUGCUUAGAUAUCACGAAGAACUCCGAUUGCGAAGGCAGCCUGCUAAGCUGCAACUGACAUUGAGGCUCGAAAGUGUGGGUAUCAAACAGGAUUAGAUACCCUGGUAGUCCACACGGUAAACGAUGAAUACUCGCUGUUUGCGAUAUACUGCAAGCGGCCAAGCGAAAGCGUUAAGUAUUCCACCUGGGGAGUACGCCGGCAACGGUGAAACUCAAAGGAAUUGACGGGGGCCCGCACAAGCGGAGGAACAUGUGGUUUAAUUCGAUGAUACGCGAGGAACCUUACCCGGGCUUAAAUUGCAGAUGAAUUACGGUGAAAGCCGUAAGCCGCAAGGCAUCUGUGAAGGUGCUGCAUGGUUGUCGUCAGCUCGUGCCGUGAGGUGUCGGCUUAAGUGCCAUAACGAGCGCAACCCUUGUUGUCAGUUACUAACAGGUUCCGCUGAGGACUCUGACAAGACUGCCAUCGUAAGGUGUGAGGAAGGUGGGGAUGACGUCAAAUCAGCACGGCCCUUACGUCCGGGGCUACACACGUGUUACAAUGGGGGGUACAGAGGGCCGCUACCACGCGAGUGGAUGCCAAUCCCCAAAACCUCUCUCAGUUCGGACUGGAGUCUGCAACCCGACUCCACGAAGCUGGAUUCGCUAGUAAUCGCGCAUCAGCCACGGCGCGGUGAAUACGUUCCCGGGCCUUGUACACACCGCCCGUCAAGCCAUGGGAGCCGGGGGUACCUGAAGUGCGUAACCGCGAGGAGCGCCCUAGGGUAAAACUGGUGACUGGGGCUAA